AACGAACGCUGGCGGCAGGCCUAACACAUGCAAGUCGAGCGCGCCCUUCGGGGUGAGCGGCGGACGGGUGAGUAACGCGUGGGAACGUGCCCUUCUCUGCGGAAUAGCCUCGGGAAACUGAGAGUAAUACCGCAUACGCCCUUUGGGGAAAGAUUUAUCGGAGAAGGAUCGGCCCGCGUUGGAUUAGGUAGUUGGUGGGGUAAUGGCUCACCAAGCCAACGAUCCAUAGCUGGUUUGAGAGGAUGAUCAGCCACACUGGGACUGAGACACGGCCCAGACUCCUACGGGAGGCAGCAGUGGGGAAUCUUAGACAAUGGGGGCAACCCUGAUCUAGCCAUGCCGCGUGAGUGAUGAAGGCCUUAGGGUUGUAAAGCUCUUUCAGCUGGGAAGAUAAUGACGGUACCAGCAGAAGAAGCCCCGGCUAACUCCGUGCCAGCCGCCGCGGUAA
rnacentral:rRNA from 1 species